rnacentral:rRNA from 1 species
UGGGGAAUUGUUCGCAAUGGGCGCAAGCCUGACGACGCAACGCCGCGUGGAGGAUGAAGACCUUCGGGUCGUAAACCCCUUUCGGGAGGGAAGAUGGAAUGGGGUAACCCAUUCGGACGGUACCUCCAGAAGCAGCCACGGCUAACUUCGUGCCAGCAGCCGCGGUAAUACGAAGGUGGCAAGCGUUAUUCGGAUUUACUGGGCGUACAGGGAGCGUAGGCGGUUCGGUAAGCCCUCUGUGAAAUCUUCAGGCUUAACCUGGAAAAGUCGGAGGGGACUGCUGGGCUAGAGGACGGGAGAGGAGCGCGGAAUUCCCGGUGUAGCGGUGAAAUGCGUAGAGAUCGGGAGGAAGGCCGGUGGCGAAGGCGGCGCUCUGGAACAUUUCUGACGCUGAGGCUCGAAAGCGUGGGGAGCAAACAGGAUUAGAUACCCGUGUAGUCCCUGAGCGGGCUGGCAAGGCGCAU